CUACACAUGCAAGUCGAACGGUAACAUUUCUAGCUUGCUAGAAGAUGACGAGUGGCGGACGGGUGAGUAAUGCUUGGGAACUUGCCUUUGCGAGGGGGAUAACAGUUGGAAACGACUGCUAAUACCGCAUAAUGUCUACGGACCAAACGGGGCUUAGGCUCCGGCGCAAAGAGAGGCCCAAGUGAGAUUAGCUAGUUGGUAAGGUAACGGCUUACCAAGGCGACGAUCUCUAGCUGUUCUGAGAGGAAGAUCAGCCACACUGGGACUGAGACACGGCCCAGACUCCUACGGGAGGCAGCAGUGGGGAAUAUUGCAUAAUGGGGGAAACCCUGAUGCAGCCAUGCCGCGUGUGUGAAGAAGGCCUUCGGGUUGUAAAGCACUUUCAGUUGUGAGGAAAAGUUAGUAGUUAAUACCUGCUAGCCGUGACGUUAACAACAGAAGAAGCACCGGCUAACUCCGUGCCAGCAGCCGCGGUAAUACGGAGGGUGCGAGCGUUAAUCGGAAUUACUGGGCGUAAAGCGCACGCAGGCGGUUUGUUAAGCUAGAUGUGAAAGCCCCGGGCUCAACCUGGGAUGGUCAUUUAGAACUGGCAGACUAGAGUCUUGGAGAGGGGAGUGGAAUUCCAGGUGUAGCGGUGAAAUGCGUAGAUAUCUGGAGGAACAUCAGUGGCGAAGGCGACUCCCUGGCCAAAGGCUGACGCUCAUGUGCGAAAGUGUGGGUAGCGAACAGGAUUAGAUACCCUGGUAGUCCACACCGUAAACGCUGUCUACUAGCUGUGUGUGUCUUUAAGACGUGCGUAGCGAAGCUAACGCGCUAAGUAGACCGCCUGGGGAGUACGGCCGCAAGGUUAAAACUCAAAUGAAUUGACGGGGGCCCGCACAAGCGGUGGAGCAUGUGCUUAAUUCGAUGCAACGCGAAGAAUCUUACCUACACUUGACAUGCUGAGAGUUACUAGAGAUAGUUUCGUGCCUUCGGGAACUCAGACACAGGUGCUGCAUGCUGUCGUCAGCUCGUGUCGUGAGAUGUUGGAUAAGUCCCGCAACGAGCGCAUCCUUGUCUUAAUUGCAAGCAAUAGGUUGGG
rnacentral:rRNA from 1 species